ACUCUUGUCAUAUUGAUGGCAACCACAAGGUUUAUAGAUAUGAUAAAGUAUCAAGGGGUACAAGUCCUUCUUAUUACAAUGACCAUCUGAUUGUCGAAAAUGCGAAAGUAGAUUCUCACAUAAGAAGCUUGAAUUCCAAAAUCACGAAGAAAGAUAUG